GAACAAGCAUUUUUUUGCCAUGUCUAUCAGCUGCUUCAGUUUGUUUUUUAAAAAAAACAAAAUCCAAACUGUUUUUUUCUGAUUAUAAGAUUGAUCAUUGUAGAAUAUGUAGAAAUUCUUAAGGAUGAAAUAAGGAGAAAAUGUCUUAUAUUCAUUUUACUAGACUGCUUUGCUUUACCUAACAUUUCAGUAUAUUUUCUAAAAUAUUUUUAGCAGAGUCAUUUUAAUUGCUGUGUAUAAUUCCAUCUUUUUGGUGAAAGAACCUCUUACUGGAAGAGCUUCUAGUAGUUUUUUUAUGCCACAGAUUUCCCUCCCCACCCCCAAACCAGAGAGCCUAGAGCGGACCAUUGGUGCCAUGUGGAACGUGAUUGUUUUGCUGAUCCUGUUCACACUAAGCCCGGGUUGCGAUGGGCUGUUUCGCUCCAUAUACAAAAAUGUCAAGGUUUCUGCACCAGUUGAGGGAGAUGCAGGACAGCCAUUAUUUCUUACUCCUUAUAUUGAAGCUGGAAAAUUCACAGA